UACAACAAAGAAGAAAAGAGA
rnacentral:sRNA from 1 species